UGGGGAAUAUUGCACAAUGGGCGCAAGCCUGAUGCAGCCAUGCCGCGUGUGUUAAGAAGGCCUUCGGGUUGUAAAGCACUUUCAGCGGGGAGGAAGGUGGUAAGGUUAAUAACCUUGGCAAUUGACGUUACCGACAGAAGAAGCACCGGCUAACUCCGUGCCAGCAGCCGCGGUAAUACGGAGGGUGCAAGCGUUAAUCGGAAUUACUGGGCGUAAAGCGCACGCAGGCGGUUGAUUGAGUCAGAUGUGAAAUCCCCGGGCUUAACCCGGGAAUUGCAUCUGAUACUGGUCAGCUAGAGUCUUGUAGAGUGGGGUAUAAUUCCAUGUGUAGCGGAGAAAUGCGUAGAGAUGUGGAGGAAUACCGGUGGCGAAGGCGGCCCCCUGGACAAAGACUGACGCUCAGGUGCGAAAGCGUGGGGAGCAAACAGG
rnacentral:rRNA from 1 species